UAGGGAAUCUUCCGCAAUGGGCGAAAGCCUGACGGAGCAACGCCGCGUGAGUGAUGAAGGUCUUCGGAUCGUAAAACUCUGUUAUUAGGGAAGAACAAAUGUGUAAGUAACUAUGCACGUCUUGACGGUACCUAAUCAGAAAGCCACGGCUAACUACGUGCCAGCAGCCGCGGUAAUACGUAGGUGGCAAGCGUUAUCCGGAAUUAUUGGGCGUAAAGCGCGCGUAGGCGGUUUUUUAAGUCUGAUGUGAAAGCCCACGGCUCAACCGUGGAGGGUCAUUGGAAACUGGAAAACUUGAGUGCAGAAGAGGAAAGUGGAAUUCCAUGUGUAGCGGUGAAAUGCGCAGAGAUAUGGAGGAACACCAGUGGCGAAGGCGACUUUCUGGUCUGUAACUGACGCUGAUGUGCGGAAGCGGGGGGAUCAAACAGG
rnacentral:rRNA from 1 species